UAAAUAAAUAAAAAAAAGUAUGCAAGCAAAGCCAAAAGCUACAAUGCUGCUCAUGACCGUGUUUGUUAUAUACUUGCAAUUUGCAUUAGCUUUACACUUUAGAAAAAAAAGCCACCACGGACCAAUGGCUCAAAUUUCAAAGGUCUUUUUCUCUUUCCACAGAAAAAGAUAGCAUUUAAAAACUGCACCAUGUGCUCAUAUAAUAUUAUUUACUUUAAACGAAAGAUGCCAUAAUAAAAUGGUGUUUUGAAACCUUGGAGAUUAAAUAGGGGCCUCCCCUGCAGUAGGAAGUCACAAACUUGAGAGAUAGCAAUGGAGCUAGUUAAUUUACCUCUUCUCUUUUUAUGUUGGUUUCUUUUUGCUCAUGUCUACUGUUUAGUAGCCAUAGCAGAGAGAUCCACAUAUAUUGUCCAUUUGGACAAAUCCUUAAUGCCUAAUGUAUUUGCUGAUCACCAACAAUGGCAUUCUUCCACCAUUGAUUCCAUCAAGAUUGCAACUCCAGCUUCACUUAAUAGCCGCCAUCCUGCUCCAAAGCUUCUCUAUUCUUAUGACAAUGUAAUUCAUGGCUUCAGUGCAGUUUUGUCUAAAGAUGAGCUAGAAGCUCUCAAGAAGUCCACUGGCUUCAUUUCAGCUUAUAAAGAUAGGUCUCUUGAAGCUCACACUACGCGUACCUCUGAGUUUCUUAAGCUCAACCCUUCCUCUGGUCUAUGGCCAGCUUCUGGUUUUGGCCAAGAUGUUAUCAUCGGUGUACUUGACUCCGGUGUCUGGCCUGAAUCUGCCAGUUUCAGAGAUGAUGGAUGCCUGAAAUCCCCAAAAAACGGAAGGGAAUUUGUCGGGCAGGCAUGGAGUUUAAUACUUCAUUGUGCGACCGGAAACUCAUUGGUGCCAAUUACUUCAAUAAGGGAAUAGUGGCCAACAAUCCUGAUGUGAACAUUUCUAUGAAUUCUGCAAGGGACACUGGUGGUCAUGGCACCCAUGUCGCCUCUAUUGCUGCUGGUAGUUUUGUCAAAGGAGCUUCAUAUUUCGGAUACGCCCCAGGAACAGCAAAAGGGGUUGCACCGUGAGCUAGACUUGCGGUGUAUAAGUUUAGCUUUGAUGAGGGAAACUUCGCUUCUGAUUUGAUUGCAGCUAUGGACCAAGCUGUUGCAGAUGGUGUUGACAUGAUAUGCAUUUCCUACGGCUGGCGCUUUAUUCCUUUAUAUGAAGAUACUAUUGCAAUAGCUGCUUUUGGUGCCAUGGCCAAGGGCGUGUUAGUUUCUGCUUCAGCAGGAAAUCGUGGUCCUGGUAUGGGAAGUUUAAACAAUGGGGUACCAUGGAUCUUCACAGUGGCAUCAGGCCAUACCGACCGUUGGUUUUCAGGGACUCUGACACUGGGAAGUGGUCUAAAGAUUAGGGGAUGGAGCUUGUUUCCAGCAAGAGCAAUUAUUAGCAAUUGGCCUGUAAUUUACAACAAGACAUUGUCUGCUUGUGAUUCAGCUGAAUUGUUAGCCCAAGUACCUGACGCUGGACGUAGCGUCAUCGUUUGUCAGAGGAGCAGAGAUGCAGAAGUAGUCACUGACCAAAUGAACUCUGUUGCAGAGGCCAGAGUUGGAGCAGCCAUCUUUAUUACCGAUGAUCCAGCAAUAUUAAGGUCCACUGAAUUUCCAAAUCCGGGAGUUGUUAUAACCCCCAAGGAAGGGAAACAGGUUAUGAAUUAUGUCACAAAGACUCCUGAACCCAAGGCCAGCAUUAGUUUCCUGGAGACAUACUUGGACUCAACGCCUGCUCCAGUUGUUUCUGCAUCCUCAGCUAGAGGCCCCUCUCGAAGCUACCUGAGAGUGGCAAAGCCAGACAUAUUAGCACCAGGAGUGUUAAUUCUAGCCGCCUACCCAUCUAAUAUUGCAGUAGCAAAAAUUGGUACCAAUAUACAAUUGGCAACUGAUUACCUUCUUGAAUCAGGAACAUCCAUGGCUGCCCCUCAGGCCCUCACAUUGCUGGAAUAGCUGCAAUGGUUAAAGGUGCACAUCCUGAAUGGAGCCCUUCAGCAAUUCGUUCCGCCAUGAUGACCACUGCCAACCCUUUGGAUAAUAAUCAAAAAGCCAUAAAAAAUUCUGAGGAUAACAAACGUGCUACACCACUAGACAUGGGAGCUGGUCAUGUUGAUCCUAACCGGGCUCUUGACCCAGGUCUCAUAUAUGAUGCCACGCCGCAAGAUUAUGUUAAUCUUCUUUGUUCUUUGAAUUUCACAGAAGAGCAGUUGAAAACAAUUGCAAGAUCUUCAGCCAAUCACAACUGCUCAAAUACAUCCACGGAUAUCAAUUACCCAUCAUUUAUCGCAUUCUUUAGCCCGCAAGGGAACUUCACUUGGUUGGAACAAAAAUUCAGGAGGACAGUAACAAAUGUUGGAAGUGGUGCAGCUAAGUAUAGAGUGAAAGUGAAAGCACCAAGGAACUCAACGAUUUCUGUCUCACCACAAACAUUGGUUUUUAAGAAGAAAAACCAGAAGCAAAGCUAUUCUUUGACCAUUCGUUACAAAGAUGAUGCAGAACAAGAAGUCCAAUCUGGUUCAAUCACCUGGGUGGAAGAGAAUGGAAAUCAUACAGUAAGAAGUCCUAUUGUAAUAUCUCCAGAGAUAGAGGUCUGGUAAUGAAGCUCUGCAACUAGCACAAAUUCUUGAAUUUUCUAAGUUUGUAACUGUGAAGAGGAUUCUGACUGAAAUAGCCGGAUAGGCAGCAAAGCAUGUGCA